rnacentral:rRNA from 1 species
UACGUAGGGAGCAAGCGUUGUCCGGAAUUAUUGGGCGUAAAGAGCUCGUAGGCGGCUUGUCGCGUCGACUGUGAAAACCCGUGGCUCAACCAUGUGGUCUGCAGUCGAUACGGGCAGACUAGAGUGCGGUAGGGGAGACUGGAAUUCCUGGUGUAGCGGUGGAAUGCGCAGAUAUCAGGAGGAACACCGAUGGCGAAGGCAGUGUUCUGGGCCAGUACUGACGCUGAGGAGCGAAAGCGUGGGGAGCAAACAGG